UCAGUAUUUCAGGGUUCUACAUUUUAUCUGUAAAAUGUGACUUUUUUUUUUUUUUAUCACAACAGAAGUAAAAUGUUGCUUUGUACCUGGUGUCUUUUAUUAAGAAUUUACUCCCCCCAUUUCUCACAGAG